GGUAACAUGGUGUAAUGGUAGCACGUAACGUUGUGGUUAAGCGUCUUGGCGCCGUUUUGGUCUGAGUUCGAUUCUCAGUGUUACCA